AACUGUCAACUUCAUUGUGUUUAUUCAUGUAAGCCGACGACCAUUAGGGCAUAAUAAAAUAAAACGUUUUUAACUGAAAAUAACAGUUAACAUUUUAUAAGAAUAUGAAAAAAUAAAGAAAAUAGUGUUAACAGUGACGAAUUGCAAAAUUGGAGGGAAAAAACCACAAGAUCGGAGAAGAAAAUGCAACUUUCGCGUUCAAGGUCAAUUGCGGCGUCCUUUCGUCGAUAGCAUAGCUACAUGGACGUGAUAAAUAUCGAGAUAAAAAUGUAGCAGGCCAUGGAUGUACCUACAUUAAUAGUGCCAGCGAACGAAUGUUUAAUGCAUACAUAACUAAAAUUCCGAAAAGGAACAUAAACGUCGGCAAGUGAAGAAUGAAGCGAGUUAAUUUUGACCUUGUUGGAAGGAGGCACCGCACCAGAAGGUUAAAUAUGGGAAUAAUCCUUCUAGGACAAUCUUGUUGUUUGCUUGCAGAUAUAUAAUUACGAACAUUACAAAACAACAAUGACCCGGACAAGAUUAUGAAAAAAUACUCUGCCUUGUUAAAUUACUAGUGCUCUGAAGAUGAACCCAGAGACUCAAGCUGCGGCUGGUGAGACGUUUGUCAGUUGGGAACAAGGCUAGGUAUUGAAAUGAAACAAAAUAAAGUUUCCUGUGACCUGUUCUCUCACUGUGAUGAUUUAGCACUCAAUAAAUUGUCUGCUGUAACCAGCUAUGAAAAGUUUCAGUAGUGUCCUUGCCUGGUUACCCCGGUGUUAUCCGGGAAGUUCCAUCACUGAAGGAGCGGAAAAGAGAAGGAGAAAGGAGGAACUUUCGAUUGGUGCGGCCAACAGCAUGGUGGGGUGGAGUCUCUUAUGCCCAACACCGUCAAGCAGUAUCGUAAACACUUGAAACACUGGUGUAUGUUUUGUGGAAAUAAUUACAUUAAUUAUCUUAUCGCAUCUUUUCUAGCAAUGUUUGCCAUUCUGAAAGCAUUAUGUGAUGAGGGAUCUAGGUAUGGAAGUGUCCAUUUUUCUAAAUCUGCUCAUGUGCUUAUAUUGGGAUAUAGACGACUCCUCAAAUGAUAG